rnacentral:rRNA from 1 species
CCAGACUCCUACGGGAGGCAGCAGUGGGGGAUAUUGCACAAUGGGGGAAACCCUGAUGCAGCGACGCCGCGUGUGGGAAGACGGUCCUCUGGAUUGUAAACCACUGUCCCCAGGGACGAAGAUGACGGUACCUGACUAAGAAGCCCCGGCUAACUACGUGCCAGCAGCCGCGGUAAUACGUAGGGGGCAAGCGUUAUCCGGAUUUACUGGGUGUAAAGGGAGCGUAGACGGCGAUGCAAGUCUGAAGUGAAAGGCGGGGGCCCAACCCCCGGACUGCUUUGGAAACUGUAUAGCUGGAGUGCAGGAGAGGUAAGUGGAAUUCCUAGUGUAGCGGUGAAAUGCGUAGAUAUUAGGAGGAACACCAGUGGCGAAGGCGGCUUGCUGGACAGAGACUGACGUUGAGGCUCGAAAGCGUGGGGAGCAAACAGGAUUAGAUACCCUUGUAAG